rnacentral:precursor_RNA from 1 species
GAAGACAGCAUACCAUUGGGCCUUGCUUCUUUAUCCAGCUUGUUACUAUAUGCUUUUUAAAUGGGGCACAGAGUGACAAGCUGGUUAAAGAAGCAAGACCCCUUCAAGAUUAUUAUUGAU